GAGAGAGCGUCUGAAGAGGAGCCUGCGUCUGAUUAGCUAGUUGGUGGGGUAAAAGCCUACCAAGGCUUCGAUCAGUAGCUGGUCUGAGAGGAUGAUCAGCCACAUUGGGACUGAGACACGGCCCAAACUCCUACGGGAGGCAGCAGUGGGGAAUAUUGGACAAUGGGCGCAAGCCUGAUCCAGCCAUGCCGCGUGUGUGAAGAAGGCCUUUUGGUUGUAAAGCACUUUAAGCGAGGAGGAGGCUACUAGUACUAAUACUACUGGAUAGUGGACGUUACUCGCAGAAUAAGCACCGGCUAACUCUGUGCCAGCAGCCGCGGUAAUACAGAGGGUGCGAGCGUUAAUCGGAUUUACUGGGCGUAAAGCGUGCGUAGGCGGCUUUUUAAGUCGGAUGUGAAAUCCCCGAGCUUAACUUGGGAAUUGCAUUCGAUACUGGGAAGCUAGAGUAUGGGAGAGGAUGGUAGAAUUCCAGGUGUAGCGGUGAAAUGCGUAGAGAUCUGGAGGAAUACCGAUGGCGAAGGCAGCCAUCUGGCCUAAUACUGACGCUGAGGUACGAAAGCAUGGGGAGCAAACAGGAUUAGAUACCCUGGUAGUCCAUGCCGUAAACGAUGUCUACUAGCCGUUGGGGCCUUUGAGGCUUUAGUGGCGCAGCUAACGCGAUAAGUAGACCGCCUGGGGAGUACGGUCGCAAGACUAAAACUCAAAUGAAUUGACGGGGGCCCGCACAAGCGGUGGAGCAUGUGGUUUAAUUCGAUGCAACGCGAAGAACCUUACCUGGCCUUGACAUACUAGAAACUUUCCAGAGAUGGAUUGGUGCCUUCGGGAAUCUAGAUACAGGUGCUGCAUGGCUGUCGUCAGCUCGUGUCGUGAGAUGUUGGGUUAAGUCCCGCAACGAGCGCAACCCUUUUCCUUACUUGCCAGCAUUUCGGAUGGGAACUUUAAGGAUACUGCCAGUGACAAACUGGAGGAAGGCGGGGACGACGUCAAGUCAUCAUGGCCCUUACGGCCAGGGCUACACACGUGCUACAAUGGUCGGUACAAAGGGUUGCUACCUAGCGAUAGGAUGCUAAUCUCAAAAAGCCGAUCGUAGUCCGGAUUGGAGUCUGCAACUCGACUCCAUGAAGUCGGAAUCGCUAGUAAUCGCGGAUCAGAAUGCCGCGGUGAAUACGUUCCCGGGCCUUGUACACACCGCCCGUCACACCAUGGGAGUUUGUUGCACCAGAAGUAGGUAGUCUAACCGCAAGGAGGACGCUUACCACGGUGUGGCCGAUGACUGGGGUGAAGUCGUAACAAGGU
rnacentral:rRNA from 1 species